AUUGAACGCUGGCGGCAGGCCUAACACAUGCAAGUCGAACGAGUGGCGGACGGGUGAGUAAUGUCUGGGAAACUGCCUGAUGGAGGGGGAUAACUACUGGAAACGGUAGCUAAUACCGCAUACCAUCAGAUGUGCCCAGAUGGGAUUAGCUUGUUGGUGGGGUAACGGCUCACCAAGGCGACGAUCCCUAGCUGGUCUGAGAGGAUGACCAUCCCCACUGGAACUUAGACACGGUCCAGACUCCUAAGGGAGGGAGCAAGGGGGAAUAUUGGACAAUGGGCGCAAGGCUGAUUCAGCCAUGCCGGGUGUAUGAAGAAGGCCUUCGGGUUGGAAAGUACUUUCAGCGGGGAGGCGUUACCCGCAGAAGAAACACCAGCUAACUCCGUGCCAGCAUCCGCAGUAAUAC
rnacentral:rRNA from 1 species